AUGUAAAAUAUCGGAAAAAUGUCGAAUAAGGAUAAGUGAAUUUUUCAAAAUUUUUAGAAAUUUUUCGGAACUCGUAUGGACGAGUUUACGGGGAUGAAAACGGGGACAGGGAAAGCCUAUUCAGGUUACCCUAAUUUAACGAGGAAAUGUUCGAUUUUAUUUUUAUUUUCCUUUUUCCUUGUUUUCCUUAUUUCCUUCUCCCGAACUCACCUUCCUCCUCGCGCCGAGCCGCUGACCCUGUUGCCAAAACCGCCACACGACGGUUCCCUCUCAUCUUCCACUCCUUUAGCCGAUGCGACGCCGACCCCGAUCUGCCGGCAUCUCAGCCCUAGCGCUGGCCCUCCUACUCCUCUUCUGAGCGCCGACAGCCGAGCACCCCUCCUGUGCCUAGUUUUCGUGCCCUAGCCACUUUACGUCGUCAGUCACUCUGCCCUCACCCACUCAUCGGAGCGUCGCGCCGCCUUGAUUUGCCGAUCACCGCUCGCCUUGGCACCGCAACUCCAUUCGCGUGAGGCUAGGUCAUCACUGUCGAUUCCCUCAUCUGCCGGUGCUGAGAGCUGCUUGUGAGCCACCCGAACUUCCUUCCUUGUGUCGUGCCUUAGACCUCUACUGUCGCACCAUCGCCAUCUCUUGGGCGUCACCGUUGUGUCGCCGUAGCCAUCAGCCUUUCGGCAGAGCCACGCCCAGCCGAUCAGUCCAGCACCUCCUCAUUAUCAGAUCUUGGACCAGGGAGAUCCCACGCUUUCUCCUCCCACAGGAGCAUCUGCCCUAGUUUGGGACAGCACCACGUUGCCCUAUAUCGCCAGUGUCACCCUACCUUCUGCUUUGCUCAUGAUUUCAGCAGCGAUUUCUUCAGCCGGGUGUCUACAAAGGUGUCACUGGAAUUGGGUCUUUCAGGCAGCAGUUUCUCCUAGCUCUAGCCAUUGUUUACCAAAGGACUUUGAUUCGAGACGGUGUCUCGACGAGGGAUCUAUUUCGGAUUGGACCUUUCUAU